UACGGAGGGGACUAGCGUUGUUCGGAAUUACUGGGCGUAAAGCGCGCGUAGGCGGAUUUGUAAGUCAGGGGUGAAAUCCCGGGGCUCAACCCCGGAACUGCCUUUGAUACUGCGAAUCUCGAGUCCGGAAGAGGUGAGUGGAAUUCCUAGUGUAGAGGUGAAAUUCGUAGAUAUUAGGAAGAACACCAGUGGCGAAGGCGGCUCACUGGUCCGGUACUGACGCUGAGGUGCGAAAGCGUGGGGAGCAAACAGG
rnacentral:rRNA from 1 species